rnacentral:rRNA from 1 species
ACGUUUUGUAACUUCGGGAGAAGGUACGCUGCCGACGGUGAUAGGAUUUACUCCUUGAGCUAUUGGCAGCCACAGAAACCAGGCCCCUGCAACUGUUUAUUAAAAACAUAGCACUCUGCAAACACGAAAGUGGACGUAUAGGGUGUGAUGCCUGCCCGGUGCUGGAAGGUUAAUUGAUGGGGUUAGCGUAAGCGAAGCUCUUGAUCGAAGCCCCAGUAAACGGCGGCCGUAACUAUAACGGUCCUAAGGUAGCGAAAUUCCUUGUCGGGUAAGUUCCGACCUGCACGAAUGGCAUAAUGAUGGGGGCGCUGUCUCCAGCAGAGACUCAGUGAAAUCGAAUUCGCCGUGAAGAUGCGGUGUACCCGCGGCUAGACGGAAAGACCCCGUGAACCUUUACUGCAGCUUGACAUUGAACUUUGAUCUUACUUGUGUAGGAUAGGUGGGAGGCUUUGAAACCGAGACGCUAGUUUCGGUGGAGCCAAUCUUGAAAUACCACCCUGGUAAUAUUGAGGUUCUAACUCUGUCCCGUUAUCCGGGACGAGGACCAUGUCUGGUGGGUAGUUUGACUGGGGCGGUCUCCUCCUAAAGAGUAACGGAGGAGUACGAAGGUGCGCUCAGCGUGGUCGGAAAUCUCGCGUAGAGUAUAAAGGCAAAAGCGCGCUUAACUGCGAGACCCACAAGUCGAGCAGGUACGAAAGUAGGUCUUAGUGAUCCGGUGGUUCUGUAUGGAAGGGCCAUCGCUCAACGGAUAAAAGGUACUCUGGGGAUAACAGGCUGAUACCGCCCAAGAGUUCAUAUCGACGGCGGUGUUUGGCACCUCGAUGUCGGCUCAUCUCAUCCUGGGGCUGAAGCAGGUCCCAAGGGUAUGGCUGUUCGCCAUUUAAAGAGGUACGCGAGCUGGGUUUAGAACGUCGUGAGACAGUUCGGUCCCUAUCUACCGUGGGCGUUGGAAAUUUGAGAGGAUCUGCUCCUAGUACGAGAGGACCAGAGUGGACGAACCUCUGGUGUACCGGUUGUGACGCCAGUCGCAUCGCCGGGUAGCUAUGUUCGGAAGGGAUAACCGCUGAAAGCAUCUAAGCGGGAAGCCUACCUCAAGAUAAGAUUUCCCUAGGACUUUAUGUCCUCUAAAGAGCCGUUGAAGACUACGACGUUGAUAGGUUGGAUGUGGAAGCAUAGUGAUAUGUGAAGCUGACCAAUACUAAUUGCUCGUGAGGCUUGACU